rnacentral:rRNA from 1 species
GACGAACGCUGGCGGCGUGCCUAAUACAUGCAAGUAGAACGCACAGUUUAUACCGUAGCUUGCUACACAAUAGACUGUGAGUUGCGAACGGGUGAGUAACGCGUAGGUAACCUGCCUGGUAGCGGGGGAUAACUAUUGGAAACGAUAGCUAAUACCGCAUAAUAUUGAUUAUUGCAUGAUAAUUGAUUGAAAGAUGCUAUUGCAUCACUACCAGAUGGACCUGCGUUGUAUUAGCUAGUAGGUGAGGUAACGGCUCACCUAGGCGACGAUACAUAGCCGACCUGAGAGGGUGAUCGGCCACACUGGGACUGAGACACGGCCCAGACUCCUACGGGAGGCAGCAGUAGGGAAUCUUCGGCAAUGGACGAAAGUCUGACCGAGCAACGCCGCGUGAGUGAAGAAGGUUUUCGGAUCGUAAAGCUCUGUUGUAAGAGAAGAACGGGUGUGAGAGUGGAAAGUUCACACUGUGACGGUAUCUUACCAGAAAGAGACGGCUAACUACGUG